CCUACGGGAGGCAGCAGUAGGGAAUUUUGCGCAAUGGGGGAAACCCUGACGCAGCAACACCGCGUGAAUGUUAAGCCCUUCGGGGUGUAAAGUUCUGUCCAUAGAGAAGAAUUUUGACUGUACCUAUAAAGUAAGCACCGGCUAAAUCCGUGCCAGCAGCCGCGGUAAUACGGGGGGGGCAAGCGGUGUCCGGAAUGAUUGGGCGUAAAGCGUUCGUAGGUGGUAUGUGAAGUCUAAUGGUAAAGCCCGGGGGGCAAAGCCGGUUAGGCAUUGGAUACUGGCACACUAGAAUGGGGGAGAGGUAAAGGGAAUUCCUGGUGUAGCGGUGAAAUGCGUAGAUAUCAGGAGGAACAUCGGUGGCGAAAGCGCUUUACUGGACCAUUAUUGACGCUGAGGAACGAAAGCCAGGGGAGCAAAUGGGAUUAGAUACCCGGGUAGUC
rnacentral:rRNA from 1 species